GACGAACGCUGGCGGCGUGCUUAACACAUGCAAGUCGAACGAAGUGGCGAACGGGUGAGUAACGCGUAAUCAACCUGCCCUUCAGUGGGGGACAACAGUUGGAAACGACUGCUAAUACCGCAUACUGAAGGAUGGGAAUGCGUCUGAUUAGCUAGUGGGAGGGGUAACGGCCCACCAAGGCGAUGAUCAGUAGCCGGUCUGAGAGGGUGAACGGACACAAUGGGACUGGGACACGGCCCAGACUCCUACGGGAGGCAGCAGUGGGGAAACUUCCGCAAUGGACGAAAGUCUGACGGAGCAACGACGCGUGAGUGAUGACGGCCUUCGGGUUGUAAAGCGCUGUUAAUCGGGACGCGGUACCGGAAUAGAAAGCCACGGCUAACUACGUGCCAGCAGCCGCGGUAAUUC
rnacentral:rRNA from 1 species